GUGUCAGCAGCCGCGGUAAUACGUAGGGUGCGAGCGUUAAUCGGAAUUACUGGGCGUAAAGUGUGCGCAGGCGGCCGCGCAAGUCGAGUGUGAAAGCCCCGGGCUUAACUUGGGAAUUGCGCUCGAAACUACGUGGCUGGAGUGUGGCAGAGGAAGGUGGAAUUCCACGUGUAGCGGUGAAAUGCGUAGAGAUGUGGAGGAACACCAAUGGCGAAGGCAGCCUUCUGGGCCAACACUGACGCUCAUGCACGAAAGCGUGGGGAGCAAACAGGAUUAGAUACCCCCGUAGUCC
rnacentral:rRNA from 1 species